rnacentral:rRNA from 1 species
AUUGAACGCUGGCGGCGUGCUUUACACAUGCAAGUCGAGCGGCAGCAUAGGGUAGCGAAAGUUACUUGGGUGGCAAGCGGCGAACGGGUGAGUAAAACAUCGUAACGUGCCAUGUAGAGUGGGAUAACUGAUCGAAAGGUUGGCUAAUACCGCAUAAGCUCUGAGGAGGGAAGAUGGGGAUCCGAGAGGACCUGUUGCUAUAUGAGCGGACGAUGAUCGAUUAGUUAGUUGGUGAGGUAAAGGCUUACCAAGGCGAUGAUCGAUAGCUGUUCUGAGAGGAAGAUCAGCCACACUGGGACUGAGACACGGCCCAGACUCCUACGGGAGGCAGCAGUGGGGGAUAUUGGACAAUGGGGGAAACCCUGAUCCAGCAACGCCGCGUGAAUGAAGAAGGCCUUUGGGUUGUAAAGUUCUUUUGUCCUAGAGCAAAGCGUGUAUGUGAAUAGCAUACAUGAAUGAGAGUAUAGGAAGAAUAAGCACCGGCUAACUACGUGCCAGCAGCCGCCGUAA